UACGUAGGGGGGCAAGCGUUGUCCGGAAUCAUUGGGCGUAAAGAGCGUGUAGGCGGCCCGAUAAGUCCGCCGUGAAAGCCCAGGGCUCAACCCUGGGAUGCCGGUGGAUACUGUCGGGCUAGAAUCCGGAAGAGGCGAGUGGAAUUCCUGGUGUAGCGGUGAAAUGCGCAGAUAUCAGGAGGAACACCGAUGGCGAAGGCAGCUCGCUGGGACGGUAUUGACGCUGAGACGCGAAAGCGUGGGGAGCAAACAGG
rnacentral:rRNA from 1 species